AUUGAACGCUGGCGGCAGGCCUAACACAUGCAAGUCGCACGAGUGGCGGACGGGUGAGUAAUGUCUGGGAAACUGCCUGAUGGAUGGGCUAACUACUGGAAACGGUAGAUAAUACCGCAUACACUCGGAUUGUCCCCGAUGGGAUUAGCUAGUAGGUGGGGUAAAGGAUCACCUAGGCGACGAUCACUAGCUGGUCGGAGAGGAUGACCAGACACACGGGAACUGGGAAACGGUCCGGACUACUACGGGAGGCAGCAUUGGGGAAUAUUGAACAAUGGGCGAAAGCCUGAUGCAUCCAUGCCGCGUGUAUGAAGAAGGCUGUCGGGUUGUAAAGUACUUUCGGCGGGGAGGCGUUACCCGCAGAAGAAGGACCGGAUAACUCCGUGCCAGCAGCCGCGGUAAUUC
rnacentral:rRNA from 1 species